rnacentral:rRNA from 1 species
CCUACGGGUGGCAGCAGUGGGGAAUAUUGCACAAUGGGGGAAACCCUGAUGCAGCGACGCCGCGUGAGUGAAGAAGUAAUUAGUUAUGUAAAGCCUUAUCAGCAGGGAAGAAAAUGACGGUACCCGAGUAAGAAGCAGCGGCUAACUACGUGCCAGCAGCCGCGGUCAUACGUAGGGGGCAAGCGUUAUCCGGAUUUACUGGGUGUAAAGGGAGCGUAGACGGCAGUGCCGGGCUGGAGUGAAAGGCGUGAGCCCAACCCCCGGACUGCUCUGGAAACUGUACGGCUGGAGUGCAGGAGAGGUAAGUGGAAUUCCUAGUGUAGCGGUGAAAUGCGUAGAUAUUAGGAGGAACACCAGUGGCGAAGGCGGCUUACUGGACUGUAACUGACGUUGAGGCUCGAAAGCGUGGGGAGCAAACAGGAUUAGAUACCCGAGUAGUC